AGUGAACGCUGGCGGCGUGCCUAAUACAUGCAAGUCGAACGGAGUGGCGCACGGGUGUGUAUUAUAUAGCUAUUCUCCCCCUUGCUGGAGGACUACAGUUAGAAAUGACUGCCAAUACCCCAUAGGAAGGUAUGAGUUUAUAUCGUCUCAGUGAGUCGGUGGGUUAACGGCCUACCGCGGCUAUGACGCGUAACUGGUCUGAGAGGAUGAUCAGUCACAUUGGAACGGAGGCACGGUCCAAACUCCUACGGGAGGCAACAGUAGGGAAUAUUGCGCAAUGGGGGAAACCCUGACGCAGCAACGACGCGUGGAGGAUGACACUUUUCGGAGCGUAAACUCCUUUUGUUAGGGAAGCGGUACUUAACCAGAAAGGGACGGCUAACUACGUGCCAGCAGCCGCGGUAAUUC
rnacentral:rRNA from 1 species